rnacentral:rRNA from 1 species
CACGUAGGCGGAUUUUUAAGUCAGGGGUGAAAUCCUGGAGCUCAACUCCAGAACUGCCUUUGAUACUGGGAAUCUCGAGUCCGGGAGAGGUGAGUGGAACUGCGAGUGUAAGGUGAAAUUCGUAGAUAUUCGCAAGAACACCAGUGGCGAAGGCGGCUCACUGGCCCGGUACUGACGCUGAGGUGCGAAAGCGUGGGAGCAAACA